rnacentral:tRNA from 1 species
GCGGGUGUAGUUCAAUGUUAGAACUUCAGCUUCCCAAGCUGAUGACGGGGGUUCGAAUCCCAUCACCCGCUCCA